AUAAUUCCUGGCCUUUAAAUGUUUAUCCAUUUUUAUACGAACUACUUUGUUGAGUGAUUGAAUAUCGCAAAAAAUUGAUUACAUGUAGGCAAUGACUUCCACGGAAGGGGUAAGCAUUUUCUGUACAAGUCAACUAUAAAAACUGAGAUGUCUGACGUCUUCUAGUUGGAUUCUGGAGAGUCCACUAGAAUGUCAGUCAGUGAUAUCAGCCAGUCAGUCUAAUGAUAUCAAUCAAAAAGAGAUCCAUCAUAACCAGGAGCAUAAUUGAAUCGUCAUUAAUCGCCUAGGAUUUCGGGUGAUUUCUACAAUUGUACAUAAAAUUUUUUAUGAAUGAUAAAUUAAUUGCAAAUAGUGAAUUUGAUGAUUAAUUGUAUAUAAUAUCUGAGAUUUAAUUGUAUAUUAAAAUUUUGCAAACCAUUAUAUGUUGAGGAUUUUUGUCCAACAACGAAGUCAUACCAUGGCUAACAUGUGACAGAAUAAAAUCUCUUGACCAUCUGGCAACGGUCAUAGAAUUACUGAAUAA